rnacentral:rRNA from 1 species
AUCCUCCGCAUCGGCACCUUGAUCGCGGUUGGAUCGGGCACCUCCACGAUGUUCUGGUUCCAUAGAUGGGCUGGAGACUUACCCCUCGCGGCACGUUUUCCCUACCUAUUCUCCAUCGCGGUUGACCCGCGGAUCUCUGUCGCGACGACCCUUAUUGACUUAGGGCAACUCGCGUUCCGGAGAGCGUUUGGCCUGCCUGAGAACGCGGACUGGCAUGAUCUGCUGGAAUGCAUCGCGCUGCACGAGCCUGAUCUUGAGGUAGGAGAAGACCGUGCCAGGUGGCGUCUAGAGCCAUCUGAGCAAUUCUCCACCAAAUCUCUAUACCAGGCCAUCACACCUUCGCUGGGUCAUGAGGUACACACCACCAUCUGGGAUAUACGGCUCCCCUUGAAGAUUAGGAUUUUCUUGUGACAGUGGAUUCGCGGCUGCCUCCCAUCCGGCGUGGAGGUCCUGAUGCGCAACGUCCCAGGGGAUGGGCGAUGCCCGCUCUGCGGGCCUGAAGAGGAUUUGAACCAUAUCUUCUUCACAUGCGUGUCCGCGCAGUUCCUAUGGAGCUGUUUCCGUGAAAUAGUGGGUGGAAGCAGGGACCACAACAACUUCCCCGCUCUUUUCGCGGAACUCCAGGCGUCAGCUCCCUCAAUUCGCCACAUUAGGUGGCUGAUCAUCGGGGUGCUAACCUGGACGAUGUGGACUGUUAGGAAUAAACUUUUGAUUCAGCGCAUUCCUUUUCGACGUGCUACUGACGCUUUGUUCAAAUGGUCUGGUUAG